rnacentral:rRNA from 1 species
CAAUAGCGUAUAUUUAAGUUGCUGCAGUUAAAAAGCUCGUAGUUGGAUUUCGGGUGGGAAUGGCCGGUCCGCCGUUUCGGUGUGCACUUGCUACGCCCACCUUGCUGCCGGGUACGUGCUCUUGAGUUCACGCUCGGGACACGGAGUCGGCGAGGUUACUUUGAGUAAAUUAGAGUGUUCAAAGCAGGCCUACGCUCUGAAUACAUUAGCAUGGAAUAACACGAUAGGACUCUGGCCUAUCUUGUUGGUCUGUAGGACCGGAGUAAUGAUUAAGAGGGACAGUCGGGGGCAUUCGUAUUUCAUUGUCAGAGGUGAAAUUCUUGGAUUUAUGAAAGACGAACUACUGCGAAAGCAUUUGCCAAGGAUGUUUUCAUUAA